ensembl:lncRNA
CUGACGGACAGCCUCCGAACCCGGGCGGGACAGGAUCCCGACGUCGGGAUCCGCAGAGGUGCGCUUAGGUUUGGCGAGGGCUGAGGUCACUGAGAGACCUCUUGGAGGAACGAGUACGCACGCUGGCGAAGCUGAGGAGAAUUUACCGUGGUGGUACGAGGGAUAUUUUGAAUGAACGGGAGCUGCCUGUCCCAGCAGCCAGCUGUGAGCCAAGAAGCCCCAGAGCCAUGAGAGGGAAAUACAGUUAUCAUUGCCAUUUCCGGUCACCUAUUCUUUACAGAUGCACUCUGCCUCUUGACCUACAUAAAAAAGAAAAUAGUCACUCUUCCCUUUUGUCUCUCAUCCAGAAAGCUAGGCUUUCUGCUUUUCCCUAACCCAUCAGGCCACUAUUGAUCCUGAGGCUUAGUGUCCAUUGUCACAGAUCAUCAUAAUGAAGCCUGCCUCACUUGUUUAGUUAAUUCCUCAGCCUCUGAUUAUUUGAAUUUGUAAGUCCUGUUUAAAUCCUCAACAAGCAAAAGAUUCAAGUCACACCCACUGAUGAUGAUUGCCAAACAAACAAAAAAAAUCACAGUUGUUGAUAAGGAUAUGGAGAAACUAGAACUU